UACGUAGGGGGCAAACGUUGUCCGGAAUGACUGGGCGUAAAGGGCGAGUAGGUGGUAUAUCAAGUCAGAAGUGAAAACUCCGGGCUCAACUUGGAGAUUGCUUCUGAAACUGGUACACUUGAGUGCAGGAGAGGGAAGUGGAAUUCCCAGUGUAGCGGUGAAAUGCGUAGAUAUUGGGAGGAACACCAGUGGCGAAGGCGGCUCUCUGGCCUGUUGCUGACGCUGAGGCGCGAAAGCGUGGGGAUCAAACAGGAUUAGAUACCCCGGUAGUCC
rnacentral:rRNA from 1 species